rnacentral:hammerhead_ribozyme from 1 species
AUCAAGCUGAAGAGUUCCAAAUAGGACGAAACGCGCGUCCUGGAC